GGUCAAGCGCCUACGACUUGGGGAAGUCAGAGCAGGGUAUCGCUAUUAACGGCAGCAGCCAGGUCCUGGAUGACGUGACAUCGGAGUGGCAUGCGGCUGUGAGAACGUGUGCACCAAUCCACAUGAUGGGUAGAAGGACAGCGUGAGCGGAGCGUAUCGCAUCCGGCCCUCAUCUAUGUCUCUCUUUCUUUUCCCCUUCUCGCGCAUCAUUUGAGCACUGCGAUCCUGUUUCCAUGUAGGCACGUAUAUAUAUACAUGCAUGCAUGUAUAUAUAUAUAUAUAUUAUAUCGUUUUACGUACUGUGGCACUGGGCAUUCCUUUGAUGGGUCAUCUCUCCCUGUGUUUUGUGUACCUUGUGCGUGCAUCGCCAUACUUUCACCGUGCUUUUUUGUGUGUGUGUGUGUGUGUGCCUCCGAGGGUGAGGCGGGUUAUUCGGUGGAUGCUUCCAAUGUCUUCUUUUUUGUUCCGUCCAUG
rnacentral:misc_RNA from 1 species